AUUGAACGCUGGCGGCAGGCCUAACACAUGCAAGUCGAACGGUAACAGGAAGCAUCUUUCUGCUUUUCUUACGAUUGUCUGUCGGGUCUGUUAUGUCUCGGAAACUGCCCGUUGCAGUGGGAUAACUACUGGUAACGUUAUCUAUUACCGCAUAACUUCUCAUGACCUAUGAUGCUGACCUUAUGGCCUCUUUCCAUCUGAUCUGCCUAGAUGUGAUUAUCUAGUAGGUGGGGGAACGUCUCACCUAGGCGACGAUCCCUAGCUGUUGUGAGAGGAUGACCAGACACACUGGAACUGAGACACGGUCCAGACUACUACGGGAGGCAGCAGUGGGGAAUAUUGCACAAUGGGCGCAAGCCUGAUGCAGCCAUGCCGCGUGUAUGAAGAAGGCCUUCGGGUUGUAAAGUACUUUCAGCGGGGAGGAAGGGAGUAAAGUUAAUACCUUUGCUCAUUGACGUUACCCGGAGAAGAAGCACCGGCUAACUCCGUG
rnacentral:rRNA from 1 species